AUUGAACGCUGGCGGCAGGCCUAACACAUGCAAGUCGAGCGCAGCGUCGGACGGGUGAUUACUGCCUAGGCAUCUGCCUGUUGGUGGCGGAUAACGUCCGGAGACGUACGCUAAUACCGCAUCCUAUCAGAUCAGCCUCGGUCGGAUUAGCUAGUUGGUCGGGUAAAGGCCUACCAAGGCGACGAUCCGUAACUGGUCUGAGAGGAUGAUCAGUCACAAUGGAACUGAGACACGGGCCAGAAUCCUACGGGAGGCAGCAGUAGGGAAUAUUGGACAAUGGGCGAAAGCCUGAUCCAGCCAUGCCGCGUGUGUGAAGAAGGUUGUCGGAUUGUAAAGCACUUUAAGUUGGGAGGCGGUACCAACAGAAUAAGCAACGGCUAACUUCGUGCCAGCAGCCGCGGUAAUAC
rnacentral:rRNA from 1 species